GUGUGAUGAGUGGUUUUAUUUAUUUGGUCGUAAUUAGUUCUCUAUUAAGUAAUAUUGAAUACAGAAAUUUAGUGUUAGUUGCUUGAGAUGCUUGUGAAGUCCCAUCGUAAUUUGGUUAGUGCUGCGGACGCGGUACCAAUCCGAGGAUUGGUGAGGUGGACUGUGUCGAAAGUUGAUAUUGCUACAAGUUGAUACUGGGGCAGAGGAGGGCGAGGUUAUCGCGCACCACAGACACCACGGCCGAUUUGUGAAUUGGUCAGCAGGACAUAUUAGAAGGAGAACCAUAUCUCCGAAAUCCAGAGCCAAGUGUCAUCAACUUGCCGUAGACUUCCAACAUGCGAGUUAUCAACCCAACACAUGAGGUCAUUGACCUGUCAGAUGAGAUGUCAGAUCAGAAAGCAGAGUCAAAAUCAAUCCCAAUCGAGCCGGAGGCAGACGAGACGCCGUGGUGGAUGUGCUACCGUCGCGG